rnacentral:ncRNA from 2 species
AAACACUGCAUCAGUGUUGGUGCCUGCCUCGGCAGGUGAAAAGGGAAUGUGCAGCCGCGCGCUAUCGCGGCCAAAGACAGCCGCCCCCGCGACCGUAAACGGAAAGGCCGAUCACAGCCACUGGCAUACGCCGGGAAGGCAGAUCGGGCGUAGGGCCAGCUGCCCUGAAUCCGCCAGCCGGGAGACCUGCCAACAUAAAAGGACGAAA